UACAGGGGGUGCAAACGUUGCUCGGAAUUAUUGGGCGUAAAGCGCGCGUAGGCGGCUACCUAAGUCGGAUGUGAAAGCCCCUGGCUUAACUGGGGAAGUGCACCCGAAACUGAGUAGCUAGAGUGCGAAAGAGGGUCGCGGAAUUCCCGGUGUAGAGGUGAAAUUCGUAGAUAUUCGGAGGAACACCAGUGGCGAAGGCGGCUCACUGGUCCAUUACUGACGCUGAGGUGCGAAAGCGUGGGGAGCAAACAGG
rnacentral:rRNA from 1 species